UGUGAGGGCGAUUGGGCUGUGACAUCCGUCACCCUAUUGAUUGCCAGCAUUGAUUGGACUGAUCUGGCUGGCCAGGUGGGUGUCCCCUUCUUCCUUUGCUAU
rnacentral:sRNA from 1 species